rnacentral:rRNA from 1 species
CAGCCGCCACGGGAAUACGAAGGGUGCAAGCGUUAAUCGGAAUUACUGGGCGUAAAGCGUGCGUAGGCGGUUUGUUAAGUCUGUUGUGAAAUCCCCGGGCUCAACCUGGGAAUGGCAAUGGAUACUGGCAAGCUAGAGUGUGUCAGAGGAUGGUGGAAUUCCCGGUGUAGCGGUGAAAUGCGUAGAGAUCGGGAGGAACAUCAGUGGCGAAAGCGGCCAUCUGGGACAACACUGACGCUGAGGCACGAAAGCGUGGGGAGCAAACAGGAUUAGAUACCCCCGUAGUCCCUGUCUCUUAUAC